GCCAAAUCGGAAGGCUUCCGGUGGUUUUUUCCGAGCAAGAUUGGUACCAUUGGGAUCGACUAAGGGAGAGGAACAGCCUGGUGUCGUCGCUUCAAUUUUCCGGUGUGCCGUCGCCGGAGAAGAUGACCGGAGGGUGCCUUGAGGGUUGAGACGAGGUGACUCAUGCGAAGUUCGAAGAAGGCACGCAAAUCGAGACAAGCACGCAAAUCGAGGCAAACCGCGCUUUUCAAGAAGAAUUCGAAUUGCGCCCAAAGGUGGAAGCAGUGGCGCCAAGGGAAAGAAUAUCAUCGAGAUGUAGCGGCUAUGUUUAGUUUUCGUAGGUUUUGUCCAUGAUUACGAUGUUCAGAGGUUAUGUAAUAUUUUGAUAUUUUCAUGUGAAACAUCGAUCUGGUUAUUGUAAAGGAAU